rnacentral:rRNA from 1 species
UACGAAGGGGGCUAGCGUUGCUCGGAAUCACUGGGCGUAAAGGGUGCGUAGGCGGGUCUUUUAAGUCAGGGGUGAAAUCCUGGAGCUCAACUCCAGAACUGCCUUUGAUACUGAAGAUCUUGAGUUCGGGAGGAGGUGAGUGGUAACUGCGAGUGUAGAGGUGAAAUUCGUAGAUAUUCGCAAGAACACCAGUGGCGGAAGGCGAGCU